GCUGGAUGUGGUGGGGGCACGCCUGUAGCCCCAGCUACUCGGGAGGCUGAGGCAAGAGGAUGGCAAGUUCCUGGCCAGCCUGGGCAACUUAGCAAGACCCUGUCUCAA
rnacentral:sRNA from 1 species